UUCUCUCGGCGCUGCCGCGUGCUUUCGGACUCUUCCUCACUCAGCAAACACGCAGCUCGCUCUCGGCAUGCACCUCGCAUCUCUCAUCCUCAGCGUCUUGCUGGCCCGGCUCCUGGGCGCCACGGGGCAGGACACGGUCACCCAGGAUGAUGGACCAGUCACGGUGAAGCAGGGACACUCCUUCCACACCACCUGCAAACACCAGAGCAGUAAUUUUUAUGCCUUGCUCUGGUACCAGCUGCGGCAAGGCCAAGCCCCACAGCUGCUCUCCUAUCAAGCAGGGAGUGGCCCCAAGCACAGCGGCCGGAUCACCACGCACCUGAACACCACGGGCAAAUCCAGUUACAGUGAAGGAGAAUUCGGGAGUUCCCAACAUGACAGCCAAGGGGAGAUGUGA